CAGCGACAGAUAAGGGGAGAGCGCUUCCCCCACACGGAAGAGGUCACAGGUUCGAAACCUGUGUCGCCCACCA
rnacentral:tRNA from 1 species